rnacentral:rRNA from 1 species
GGUGAGGUAAAGGCUUACCAAGGCGACGAUCUGUAGCGGGUCUGAGAGGAUGAUCCGCCACACUGGAACUGAGACACGGUCCAGACUCCUACGGGAGGCAGCAGUGGGGAAUUUUGGACAAUGGGGGCAACCCUGAUCCAGCCAUGCCGCGUGAGUGAAGAAGGCCUUCGGGUUGUAAAGCUCUUUCGGCCGGGAAGAAAUCGCAUGGGCCAAUACCCUGUGUGGAUGACGGUACCGGAAUAAGAAGCACCGGCUAACUACGUGCCAGCAGCCGCGGUAAUACGUAGGGUGCGAGCGUUAAUCGGAAUUACUGGGCGUAAAGCGUGCGCAGGCGGUUUUGUAAGACAGGCGUGAAAUCCCCGGGCUUAACCUGGGAACUGCGUUUGUGACUGCAAGGCUAGAGUACGGCAGAGGGGGGUGGAAUUCCACGUGUAGCAGUGAAAUGCGUAGAGAUGUGGAGGAACACCAAUGGCGAAGGCAGCCCCCUGGGUCGAUACUGACGCUCAUGCACGAAAGCGUGGGUAGCAAACAGGAUUAGAUACCCUGGUAGUCCACGCCCUAAACUAUGUCAACUAGGUGUUGGGUGGGUAAAACCAUUUAGUACCGUAGCUAACGCGUGAAGUUGACCGCCUGGGGAGUACGGCCGCAAGGUUAAAACUCAAAGGAAUUGACGGGGACCCGCACAAGCGGUGGAUGAUGUGGAUUAAUUCGAUGCAACGCGAAAAACCUUACCUACCCUUGACAUGCCAGGAACUUGCCAGAGAUGGCUUGGUGCCCGAAAGGGAGCCUGGACACAGGUGCUGCAUGGCUGUCGUCAGCUCGUGUCGUGAGAUGUUGGGUUAAGUCCCGCAACGAGCGCAACCCUUGUCGUUAAUUGCCAUCAUUUAGUUGGGCGCUUUAACGAGACUGCCGGUGACAAACCGGAGGAAGGUGGGGAUGGCGUCAAGUCCUCAUGGCCCUUAUGGGUAGGGCUUCACACGUCAUACAAUGGUCGGUACAAAGGGUUGCCAAGCCGCGAGGCGGAGCCAAUCCCAGAAAGCCGAUCGUAGUCCGGAUUGCAGGCUGCAACUCGCCUGCAUGAAGUCGGAAUCGCUAGUAAUCGUGGAUCAGCAGGUCACGGUGAAUACGUUCCCGGGUCUUGUACACACCGCCCGUCACACCAUGGGAGCGGGUUCCGCCAGAAGUAGGUAGCCUAACCGCAAGGGGGGCGCUUACCACGGCGGGGUUCGUGACUGGGGUGAAGUCGUAACAAGGUA